UGGGGAAUAUUGGACAAUGGGCGCAAGCCUGAUCCAGCCAUGCCGCGUGAGUGAUGAAGGCCUUAGGGUUGUAAAGCUCUUUUGUCCGGGACGAUAAUGACGGUACCGGAAGAAUAAGCCCCGGCUAACUUCGUGCCAGCAGCCGCGGUAAUACGAAGGGGGCUAGCGUUGCUCGGAAUCACUGGGCGUAAAGGGCGCGUAGGCGGCCAUUCAAGUCGGGGGUGAAAGCCUGUGGCUCAACCACAGAAUUGCCUUCGAUACUGUUUGGCUUGAGUAUGGUAGAGGUUGGUGGAACUGCGAGUGUAGAGGUGAAAUUCGUAGAUAUUCGCAAGAACACCGGUGGCGAAGGCGGCCAACUGGACCAUUACUGACGCUGAGGAGCGAAAGCGUGGGGAGCAAACAGG
rnacentral:rRNA from 1 species